AUUGAACGCUGGCGGCAUGCCUUACACAUGCAAGUCGAACGGUAACAGGUCUUCGGAUGCUGACGAGUGGCGAACGGGUGAGUAAUACAUCGGAACGUGCCCAGACGUGGGGGAUAACGAGGCGAAAGCUUUGCUAAUACCGCAUACGAUCUAAGGAUGAAAGCAGGGGACCGCAAGGCCUUGCGCGUUUGGAGCGGCCGAUGGCAGAUUAGGUAGUUGGUGGGAUAAAAGCUUACCAAGCCGACGAUCUGUAGCUGGUCUGAGAGGACGACCAGCCACACUGGGACUGAGACACGGCCCAGACUCCUACGGGAGGCAGCAGUGGGGAAUUUUGGACAAUGGGCGAAAGCCUGAUCCAGCAAUGCCGCGUGCAGGACGAAGGCCUUCGGGUUGUAAACUGCUUUUGUACGGAACGAAAAGACACUGGCUAAUACCUGGUGUUGAUGACGGUACCGUAAGAAUAAGCACCGGCUAACUACGUG
rnacentral:rRNA from 2 species